rnacentral:rRNA from 1 species
GACGAACGCUGGCGGCGUGCUUAACACAUGCAAGUCGAACGGAAAGGCCCCCUUGUGGGGUACUCGAGUGGCGAACGGGUGAGUAACACGUGAGUAAUCUACCCUUGACUUUGGGAUAACUUCAGGAAACUGGGGCUAAUACCGGAUAGGAGCUCCUGCUGCAUGGUGGGGGUUGGAAAGUUUCGGCGGUUGGGGAUGGACUCGCGGCUUAUCAGCUUGUUGGUGGGGUAGUGGCUCACCAAGGCUUUGACGGGUAGCCGGCCUGAGAGGGUGACCGGCCACAUUGGGACUGAGAUACGGCCCAGACUCCUACGGGAGGCAGCAGUGGGGAAUAUUGCACAAUGGGCGGAAGCCUGAUGCAGCAACGCCGCGUGCGGGAUGACGGCCUUCGGGUUGUAAACCGCUUUCGCCUGUGACGAAGCGUGAGUGACGGUAAUGGGUAAAGAAGCACCGGCUAACUACGUG